rnacentral:misc_RNA from 1 species
GCAGGUGGUACUCUGUACGAGUGGUGGUGAUGUGGCAAUUGGCCAUCUGUACGAGGCCACCUGUUUAUUUGUACGGAGCAGAGGCCAGCUCUGCUCGGCUGCUCACUCAGCCACUCCUGCUGAACACACCGGCACGUGCAUGGUAGCGUUUCUUCAGUUUCUUGGACAACCGGUAUGGCGGCUUGUCACCGCCUUCUUCCUCCCUCUCUGGCUCGUCACCACGUCCGCCUCCACCUUCUUCCUCCUCCCUCCGCCGUUCUUCUUCCUCCUCCCUCUCUCUUUCUUCCUCCUCGCGUCUCCGUGCACGCUCCUCCUCCUCUUUCUCUCUCCUCCGCUGCUUCUCUUGCUCCUUCCUGGCCCGCUCUUCUUCCUCUUCCCUCCUCUCUUCUUCCUCCCGUUCCCUUUCCUUCCUCUCCUUUUCCUCCCGUUCCCUUUCCUUCCUCUCCUUUUCCUCCCGUUCCCUCUCCCGCUCUUCCUCCUUUUCCUUCUCCUCCCGUUCCCUCCUCUCCUUUUCCUUCUCACGUUCUCCCGGUCCUUUCCCUUUCCCUCCCCCUUCCUCCUCCCGUCGCUUCCUCUCCUCCUCGGCCUUCUCCGCCAGCUCCUCAGCGCACGAUACGCACGGCAGUAUCGUCGACUCGCGCUGCGCGGACAGCAGCUUGUCCACGGCGGUCGGGUCCCGCUGCCCCAGCGCCAGCGCCAGCACCUUCUUCCCAAUGGCCUGCAGCACGGAGCCCUUCCCGGCCAGGAACUGCGGGUGGUUUUGCCCCAUGUGGGUGCUGAACCCGACGAACACGAACGAGUCGUCGUUGAACGACAUCUGCGCCAUCGGGUGGAACCGCGGCACCACGAAGACGUCGCCUUCCUUCACACGGAACACCGAGUUCCUGCACUGCCACCGCGCGCGGCCGCCUUCGCCUUCGCCCUCAUCGCCGCGGCCUCCCGGCCCGCCGCGCCGCUUGUGACCGUGGUGGUGGUCUCCACUGCUCCCGCCCGACGGGCUGCUGCUGCUGCUGCUGCUGCUCGGGCACACCGUCUGCACGAUUCCUGAACCCUCUGUCACGAUGGCGAUCUCCGUGGCCUUGGGGUUCCAGUGAGGCCCCAUCAUCGAACCCUGCAAAGAAACAGACAACAAACCGGUGGAUCGUCGUUGACACCAUCAUCAGCACAGUGCACAGUGCAAGAAGAACCCUUUGACGUACGUGCUGAGAGAUUAACAUGGCGAGCUGAGACUGAGAGUGAUCGCGUGCUUGAUUACCGUAGUCAGGUUCACCAUGAACAUGCCAAUGCUGGAUCCGUGCAGCGCGUCGAGGUCCUUGCUAGUCAUCAUCCGGCUCCACCCGUAGCAGUUCUGGACGUCUGGCUUUCCGGAGUAGAAGUUGAACGCCUUGCUCUUGGACUUCUUGUCCUUGUGCUUGUCCUUCUUCUUCUUCUUCUUGUUAAGGAACUCCUCCGGAUCGCGCACGCCCAGCAGAGCGUCGAUGAUGUUCUCGGUCCAGCCGGGUUUCUUGUCCCCCUUCUCCUCCUCUGGGUUGUAGGCUAUGAUCGGUGGCGGUGUCUUGGCAGACUUGAUCGCUUCUACCACCUCGGGUUUGACCUUGUGGAAGAUGCUAUCGGUUAGCUUGCUGGUCAACAGGCGUACGCAUGACGGGGCAGCCACUAUAUAUGCAACAGUACCAGCUUUCACUUACCCCAAAUCCCAGGCGAAGAACGUCUGUCUCGAACCCUUUGACCAGAUUGCUGACGCUGGAGUAAGCUUCCACCUUGGGCUUCUGCUUUGAUUAAUUUGGCACACAACAAUCACAGAAGUGUACAUGCAAUGCAUUGCAGAGGAACGGAAGGAUGAGUAGGACCGGAGGUUCAUUACCGAGGGGUCAUCGGCGUUGAUGCCUUCGCUGGUGAAGAUGGCGUAGAUCCGAAGACGCUGUCUACUGGCGUUGGGGUAGCUCUGGAUGUACAGGAUGCUCCCCUGCUCAAAGUUGUAUACGUCUCCUCGCUCCACCUCCAGGGAGCUCUGUUCGCUGCUCUCUUCUUCUAUGGAAGUCACCUUGCCCCGCCCUGUCCCUCACAAAUCACAGACUCAUGUAACUGGUGCUCAAGUGCGUAACAAAGCAAGCUUGCCACGCCACCUACCGCUGUGAACGUAGAACACCAUGUCGGCAUGCAGCUGCACGGGCAGGAACAGCGCCCCGGGGUCCAUGGUGAUGAAGUGCAGCCGGUACGCCGUGCCCGCCGCGUCGGCGACGUCCACGGCCGAGACCGAGCCGGCCUCGCUCUCCGCCACCACCCGCCGUCGCUCCUUCUCCACCACCUGGCCGCCCACCCUCCACCUCUCGUGCUUCCCGGACGCCGCGGCCGCCGAGACGACAGCCAGGAGCAGGAGCCACCGAGCAGUCGUCGCCACCGCCAUGACCCAAGCUAACUAAGGCAGCUAGAAUCUCUGCUCUGAGUUCUCCCCCCGUCCCCGCACGGGCUGCGAUCUGCGGAGUGGUGGAUCGCGCUUUG